AUUAAAAGUCUCGCGCACCAAAUUAUUGUGGCGGUCAGCGGUGCGACGGCGAGGAAGUCAGCGCAGCCCCCCGGCUCGGUUACGCGGAGCGGAGGGUGUUCAGUCGUGGACGUUGCAGUGCGGCUUAUGUGAAUUUAAUAUAGAUUUGCACUGAGUGUGCGCGCUAAAAUACACAACUUUAGACUCCAGAGAAUUAGAAUAAAAUAGAAUUUUUUGACAGAAAAUAAUUAUUAUUUAUGCCCCGACCCGGGGCUUGACCCGGAGCUCGAACAGUAUUCACAUUGAACAAUUUUGUGUUGAGUAACAAAAAGUUCUUAUGUAUUUCGAAGAUGUCACGCAAUUGUUAAAAUAACAAUAAAUAUAUUUUGUAAUAUAUUUGUCAAUUAAAUAAGGAAAAAGUAGUGUAUUAUUAGCAGGUUUAAUAUCGCAUCUGUGUUAAUAAACUUAAAAUGAAAUAUACAAUAAUAAACAUGUCUAAGAACAAGUUGUACGUAUGUAUAUUACUAUAUGUAUGUUGUAAUGUAGUUGCUAUAUAAGGCCAGAAUGUUAUUGGCAUUGGUCAUUCUAACCUUCAUUCCGAACCGGUUGAUCGUUACGAGGAAAACAAAACAAGCGAUGAAACUCAUCAGUUGCAUUGCACUAUUUGUCGUAGCCGCUAUGGCGAGCAGUGACAGACCACAGUACAAGCUAGAAAACGCGCCGGCUCUGUUUGAUAAAUUUAUCAAAGAUUUUAAUAAACAGUACAAAGAUGAAGCGGAUAAGGCGGCCCAUUACGAGGCAUUUGUGAAGUCCUUGGAGACAAUAAAUAAAGCAAAUGCGGAACAAUCCAGUGCAACGUUCGAUAUAAACCACUUAGCGGAUUACACGCCUGAGGAACGGAAACAUCUAUUUGGUUUGAGAUUGCCAGAAAAAAAGAAAGAAUAAGGAUUGGUUGGAAGACAUCAUUGUGACAGUGAUAAUUGAUAAAAAUGUAAAAUUAUAUUAAAGUCUUAACACUCA